rnacentral:lncRNA from 1 species
CCUCAAUCCGGAAAAUGACUUCCCUUGGCUGAUUAGGGAAGUCAUUUUUUUUCAAAUGGAGGAAAAUGAGCUGCUUUAGAAAAUGUUUCCCCAAUAUUUUCUUGCCACCAAACAAGGGAAAAUAAGAAAAUGUUUUCCACAAAAUAUUUUCCAUCAUACAAAACACAUCCUUAAUGAAGGGCAAAAAGUUCAAAUCACUUUUGUAAGGG